CCUACGGGUGGCAGCAGUGAGGAAUAUUGGUCAAUGGCCGCAGGGCUGAACCAGCCAAGUCGCGUGAGGGAUGACGGUCCUAUGGAUUGUAAACCUCUUUUGUCAGGGAGCAAAGGGCGCCACGUGUGGCGCUUUGCGCGUACCUGAAGAACAAGCAUCGGCUAACUCCGUGCCAGCAGCCGCGGUAAUACGGAGGAUGCGAGCGUUAUCCGGAUUUAUUGGGUUUAAAGGGUGCGCAGGCGGAAUGUCAAGUCAGCGGUAAAAUUUCGGGGCUCAACCCCGUCGUGCCGUUGAAACUGGCGUGCGUGAGUGAGCGAGAAGCAUGCGGAAUGCGUGGUGUAGCGGUGAAAUGCAUAGAUAUCACGCAGAACGGCGAUGGCGAAGGAAGCAUACCGGCGCUCAACUGACGCUCAUGCACGAAAGCGUGGGUAUCGAACAGGAUUAGAUACCCGAGUAGUC
rnacentral:rRNA from 1 species